UGCAGUAAUUUACUUUACAAAGGCAAAACACACAUUUUGCAUCUUAUCAAAAAUGUACGCUUGAUGUAGUAAUGAUAACUAGUUGUAUUAUAUUGACCAAUACCUCUAUUAACGUGUCAUAUACAUAUUUCUAUAACUUAGUACUUCUUGAUGUACUCAAGAGCAUACUUUGAGAAACAGAUUUGCACGGAAAUGUGGAAAUGAUAUUUUUGUUCUAAAUGCGUCCUCAGUUUUGAAGACUUGUGUAUAUACUUGUAUAUUUGUGUAGUGGUUUGUACACUAAUAAAAGUAGAUAAAUGGCACGUUUUUGCAUACCAUCACCUGAUAAGUAUGUAACAAUGGGAUUUCACUGCAUUGCAGUUUGGUGUCGCCACACUGACCUCCUCAGGUUGGAAUGCAGCCUCUCAACAUUAGCUGUUGUCUAUAAUCAGCUCAACCACUGAUAAUCACACGAGUAAUCAGCCACAACUUGGUUAUAUAAUAUGCAUCCUAUGUAUCUGCUGUGGAAGUUACAGAAGGUCUCGUCAAUAGGUGUUUAUCAAAUUGUAUGUUGUGAAUGCUGGUGUUUCCUGCAGCCAGCAGAGGGGGCAGUUGCACUUUAAGUAAAACAAGCUUUACAUUCAGAGGGAAGUAAACUUAAUAGAGAGCUUUUGAUUUAGCAUUUAAUUAUUUUAAUAACAUGACUGUAUUCGGAAAUUAUUUUAAAGUCUUUUCUUACCAAUGAUGUUUUAGAGAAAACUGGAGCUCAUUGAUCUCUUAAGUCACACCAAGAUUUCAAAGCUAUGAAAUGUGUAAAAGCAUCACUGGUCCCAGCACAACAUCCCGAAUGACUAAAAAAGAUCUCGGGAUCACCAUGGAUUUUGGAAGUACUGCUUUAAAAAUGUUGCAUAAAAUGAAAUCACAAAAAGUGGAUGAAAACAAAAGUCGUAACCCUCCGGACAUUGAGCAAGCCAGUCAGGCCACAGAGCUGGAGAAUAUGGAGAUGACAGAAGAAAAGCAUGGGAAAACACUGAGACAGCAUCAUGUAUAUGAAUCAACUAACACAAAGAUGCUACAUACGCAUACAAACAGCAUAGAAUAUCCUCCAUUUUGUAAAAAACUAACUAGCAAUAAAUAUUUAUAACAGUGUAAGCUCAAAGCAUAUGAUUCAUUUUAAUUAAUAACCACCCUUAUGUCUGUCUUUCCUUUCCAGUAGGUGAAGAGAUCGUGCCAAUGACAGUAUCAAAAGCAAGUCUCAAACCUUACCAUCUCAUUUCUGACAGAAAACAUAAAUACAGAGUAGGGUGGGAUUGUCACGAAUGUGGCUCCCUCGCCUCCUCCUCCGCACCACCGGAGGGAGCCAUCACCUGAAUACUGACUGUUUCCCAUUCGGACUACGUUUCCCAUAGGCCCUCAUUCCUGGGACUGAUUGCGCACACACCUGCACCUCAUCACACUCACACUAUUUAAGCCACACACUCACACAUACACACCGCGAAGUCUUGAUUUGCCCUGGUGAUCAUUACUGAGCGUUUUCUUGUGGACUGUUUCUCCGUUACCGUUGGAUUGUUUAUUCUCUGUGAUUCUUUGCUGCCUGCCCUGAUCCCUGCCUGUGUACUGGACUGUGUUUGCUUGCCGCCUGCCCUGAUCUCUGCCUGUGACUUGACACCGUUUGUCUGCCGCCUGCCCUGACCAUUGCCUGUCCCUGUUUAUGUCUUUGCCUUUGCCCCUGUCUACUUUGGUGAUUGUUCUAAUAAAAGCUGCAAAUGGAUCCACACUCUGCCGACCCUUCAUUACAGGGAUGCAGGUUCACAAGUUCACAUUGUAUUUAUUUCCCCAUUUAUUAUAAUAAAUACUUAUCUGAGCACCUCUGAAUGUGACUCCCUUCACACGCAGUGAGGCAGGAGAAAAAUGGCUGUAACUCUCCAUCAGCAAGUUCAGGAUAUGGUUCAUUUAAAUCAAGAGAGCACAAGGACAGCUCAGUUUUCCUCUUCUCUGAUAAUGUUGAGCAGCCCUUUGAGGAUGAGAAUGAAGCUUCAGCUAUAAGACCAGUGAGGAGGACAGAGAAAACUCUGAUUAUGAUGAUUAAAACACAGACGAGGAGCUUAUAAUCAAUAGUAACCUGUCAUUACAUUUUUUGGUUGUAGCCUAUAUAAAGAAAACUCAGUAUUUUUCUGCUGACUACAGACACUACUGUAAUAUUGUACCUGGGAGUUCAUGUACUUUUUUGAUGUAUCAAAUAUGAAAAGACCUGAAAUACAUGAAAGAGCACUUGGA